GACGAACGCUGGCGGCGUGCUUAACACAUGCAAGUCGAACGGUGAAGCGCCUUCCUUUUUGGUGGGUGUGGAUGAGUGGCGAACGGCUGAGUAACACGUGAGUAACCUGCCCCCUUCUUCUGGAUAACCGCAUGAAAGUGUGGCUAAUACGGGAUAUUCUGGGUCUGUCGCAUGAUGGGUCUGGGAAAGAUAUUGUUUCGGUGGGGGAUGGGCUCGCGGCCUAUCAGCUUGUUGGUGGGGUGAUGGCCUACCAAGGCGGUGACGGGUAGCCGGCCUGAGAGGGUGGACGGUCACACUGGGACUGAGACACGGCCCAGACUCCUACGGGAGGCAGCAGUGGGGAAUAUUGCACAAUGGGCGCAAGCCUGAUGCAGCGACGCCGCGUGAGGGAUGGAGGCCUUCGGGUUGUGAACCUCUUUCGCCAGUGAAGCAGGCCUGCCUCGUUUGUGGGUGGGUUGACGGUAGCUGGAUAAGAAGCGCCGGCUAACUACGUG
rnacentral:rRNA from 1 species